rnacentral:sRNA from 1 species
UAAUAAUAGUUUUUUUUGGUUUGAUUUUUUUAAAUUAUUUUCGUAAAAAUUAUUUUAUUUUAUUUUUUGCAAAUAAGUUUUUCUCAAAUAUUUAUUAAUUGUAUUUUAUUAACCAAUUAAAUUAUUUAACCAAAUAAUAAAUAAUUUUAUUUUUAAUAUUUAUAUUUUUAAUUUUUUUUACGUUCCAAUUUUCUUUGUUUUUAAAAUUUGGGCAAAAUAUAAUUUCGUGGUCGUUUAAAUCCCUGGGUUUCCAUAAUUUAAAAAAUUAUAUUGGGAAAAUAUCGUAUAAUUUUUCAAAUUAUAUUGGUAAAAUUAAACGAUACGCCUAUUUUUCGACGUUAUAUAAAAUUUUAAAAAAUUUAAUAUAUUUGGGUUUAAAUUUGGCGUUUUUUUCUAAUUUAAUAUUACGCGUAAAUAAUUAUACCCAAUUACCUCGUUUAAAUUCCAUAAAUUUGUGUUUUUUAUCGUAAUAUUUUUUAUAUCGUUCCAUUAUUUAAAUCCAUUUUUUUCGCAAAUUUUCUUUUAAUUUGGUAAAUCUUUUAAACCUAUUUUGCAUUAUUGGUAUAAUUUUUAUCCCCGUUUUUAAUAAUACGUUUUCGGAUUUUAAAUAGAAAUUUUUAUUUUUUCCUAUAAAUGCCAUUAUAAACAAUAUAUUUAUUAUUUUUUAAAAUGUGUUAUUAUAGGCGUAUUUAAUUAUA